UGUCGCCUGCAAGCUGCUUACAACUUGAGUUGUACUGUGUAAAUCAAGUACACAACUUGCCUACGUUGUCGUGAGUUGAGUGCUUGAUUUACACACAGUACAAUUCCAGUUGUAAGCAGGUUGUAUGCGACA